UCCGAGCUUGAGAGAUUACAUUA
rnacentral:siRNA from 1 species